UUACAAGAUGGCCAUAUUUUUGCCCAUAAAUAAUCAACUCCAGCCUUGGUUUCUCCUCCUGCAAAGAAAAAGAUAGAAGUUAGAGAGAAAGAGCUAGAGAGAAGUGAGAGAAGAGAAAGUGUGAACCUUUGGAGAAGCUGAGCCCACCAGAGCUCGCCGGAGCCACCACACGCCAAGACCAAGCCAAGCUCAUCACCACCGUUCGUUGUAGUCGCCACCAGAAUCGUCGCAAUCGGAGCUCGGACGAAGCCGUACGAGCCCUCCAAAGUUUCGCCGGAAAUCGCAUCCGCCACCGCCGGACCACCGUUAUCCGCCGCCGGACCACCGCUUCUCCGACGCCGGUCCGCCGCUUAUCCGCCGCCGGACUGUCAUCGCCGCCGAUUUGGAGUCUAUUUUAUCAGUGGGAGUUCAUAGAUACCACUUCUCUUCAUUGCUAAGGUGAGACCGAUGAGCAGGAGUGAUCAUAUCGGACUAGUGCUACUAUUUGGGCUCGUGGGCUUUAUCGUUUAUCGUUUUAUCUUUUAUCGUUAUUG